AACGCUGGCGGCAUGGCUAAAACAUGCAAGUCGAACGCGAAAGUACCUUCGGGUGCGAGUAGAGUGGCGAAAGGGCGAGGAAUACGUUUCUAACGUGCCCCUGGGUGAGGGAUAGCAUCGGGAAACCGGUGGUAAUACCUCAUGAUCCCCGGUUGUCGCAUGGCAGCCGGGGCAAAGGUUUACCGCCCGGGGAUCGGGAAACGCCCUAUCAGGUAGUUGGUGAGGUAACGGCUCACCAAGCCUUAGACGGGUAGCGGGCGUGAGAGCGUGACCCGCCGCAUCGGGACUGAGACACUGCCCGGACUCCUACGGGAGGCUGCAGUAACGAAUAUUCCGCAAUGCGCGAAAGCGUGACGGAGCAAUGCCGCGUGAAGGAUGAAGCCCCUCGGGGUGUAAACUUCUGUCAGGGAAUAGGAACAAAAUGACCGUUCCCAAAGGAAGGGCCGGCUAACUUCGUGCCAGCAGCCGCGGUAAUACGAAGGGCCCGAGCGUUGCGCGGAAUCACUGGGCUUAAAGGGUGCGUAGGCGGAACUGUAAGUACUUUGUGAAAUCCCUCGGCUCAACCGGGGAAUUGCUUGGUAUACUGCGGUUCUUGAGGCCAGUAGGGGCAGCCGGAACUCUAGGUGGAGCGGUGAAAUGCAUAGAUAUCUAGAGGAACGCCAAAGGUGAAGACAGGCUGCUGGGCUGGACCUGACGCUGAGGCACGAAAGCGUGGGGAGCAAACAGGAUUAGAUACCCUGGUAGUCCACGCCGUAAACGUUGUGCACUAGGUCCCGGAGGUUUUGACGCCAUCGGGGCUGGAGCAAAAGUAUCAAGUGCACCGCCUGGGGAGUACGGUCGCAAGGCUUAAAACUCAAAGCGAUUGACGGGGGCUCA
rnacentral:rRNA from 1 species